rnacentral:lncRNA from 1 species
GACUCUGGCCGCGGCGAUUCAAUAUAUCCGGAAGCAACUGUCAUGGCUGCUGUCAGUGAGGGCCCGUAAUGGAGAUCGAGUCAAGGGUUGCCCAGGGACACUUAAGAGCCUUCGGCUUCAAGGAGGCCUCUCAAAGGACAAAGGAUGAGACUGCCUGGCGGCAGAGUGCCCCCCACAAUCGUAGGAACUGUGUCGCCGCGCUUCCCGUUAACUUGCCGCUAAGUUUUUCUAGAAAAGUCGCCCUUCUUGCCAGGGGUGUCCUAUAGACUUUGUCAUGGAGUGAAACAGAAACAAAUAUGAAACAAAGCUUCCUAUGCCAAAUUCCAGCUUAGGAAGGAUUUGUCGCAAAAUAAAAGUACACUGUCGAUUCCAAUGUGUUGGGUGUUUAGGUCGCCAUUCCAUCACUUUACUCUUCAGAGUCCUUUCGAUCCUAAGAUAUGCAUGACUCUUGGCCAGUGAUUCUCAACCUCGGCUGCACAUUGGCAUCAACUGGGGAACCUUCAAAGCUCCUGGCAUGUGGGUUCCACCCUCAGAGAUUGUGAUGUAAUGCACUGACAGUCAAAUUGGGAACAACUGUAAAUUGGCUCAGUUCAUUCAUCUUUUACUGCUGUACAGAAGAUUUCAUUGUAUAAGUACUUCACAACUCAUGUACUGAUUUCUAGUUGAUGAACUGUUUCAAAUUUUUGUUAUUUCAAGCAAUUCUCUAAUGAAUGUUGUUGUACUUGUCUCCCCGUGAAUGUUCCUCUGGGGUAUAUACUGAGAAGUUUGAAUUGGCACAUCAAAGGUUGAGCAUCUUCACCUUUA